CAUAGUGAGUUCCAGGCCAGCUGGGGCUUCAGGGAGACCCUGUCUCAAAAAGACUGAAAGGAGUGUAGAUAAUAAAACCACAUGACAACAUUCUAGACAUAGAUUUUAAUACAGUAUAAUGGUAAAUAUAAAUAUCUGGUUUUUUCCUACUUAUAUUUUUUUGUGCAUUUAUUCUUUUAUCAUGUUGACAUUUUAAUUUUACAACUUGAUUUAUAUUCAUAGUAAAAAAUGUUAAAUAUUAUAAAAAAGUAUAAAGUAAAAAUGCUAAAAUUCCCUUCUCUCCAUUCCCUUCUCAGACACAGGCCAACAAUCUUCCAAACUGUCAAUCAUUUUCUUUCUUUUUACAUAAAUGGCUUCACAUUUUCUAUGCUCUGUAACUUGAUUUUCCUACUUAAGACAGUUGUCAAAAUCUCUCAUUACAGCACAGUUACAGCUACUUGUUGUUAAUAGUGGUACUCAAUUCCUUGACUUGUCAAUAUCUGUUCAGGCAAUUCCAUACUGAUGAGAAUUGGCUACUUAGGGUCCUUGUGUAUUAAUGAGGUCACAGGCAUGAUGAUGGCUCACUUAAACAAACACAACUGUAUCUACUUGUAUAUUUUUAUAUUUUUUUAAAAGUCAGAUAUGUUUCAUGAAAACUUCAAUACCAGAAACGACUAAUGGACUAUGUGGCUCAUGGGUGAGUUGAAAGGCAAAGACUUAAUGUUUUAAUACCAUUUGUUUUACUAAAAUAUAUUCAAGAAACAAACCAGAAAGCCACAUAAACUAUUUUCUUAAAGGCUGUGGCCAAGUUGGUGACAUGGAGGAGUAUCUAGAUUAGGGAUGCUCCCCCACAAAGAUUUCUUGAUAGACUUGUUACAGUUUGGAUAUGAAAUGUUCCCCACAGCUCAUGGGUUAAAGGCUUGGUCUCCAGGCAAUAUUCCAAGGUGGGGCUAUUUAGAAAUGAGGCUCGUGGGAGCUCUAGCGAGUCAAUGGAUGAACUCACUGAUAAACUCAAAAUUUGACAGCAUUAUUGGGAAUGGAGAUUAGGCGAAGCCUCAGGAAGUUGUAGGCAUAUCCUGGAAGGGUAGACCUUGUUCUGAGCCCCUUCCACUUGCUCUCCACUUCCUGACAGUCAGGAGGUAAGCUGCUUUCCUCUGAGACACAUUAGGAAGACUAUUGGUUCAGAACUGGAUCUUGUUUACUGGCGAAGAAUGUGAAUUUCAUGAUUGGUCUUUGUUGCAAGCACUUCUUAAUGUUUUAUUCUUUUCAAAUGACUGAAACCAUCAGGUGUAAGUAGUUUAGCUGCUUAAUGGCUAUCAGCCCCUUCUCUCCUCACCUGGCUGCAGUGCUAACUGCCUAGGAGCACCAAGAGAACAAACCAAGGUUGGGCAGGGUAGAGGAUGAAUCAGAAACCAUGGCUGUUAUCUCCAUGGUCUAAGUCUGGUGGGACUGUGACCCACACUGAUGCAGCUCCUGAAGUUCCAUUGGAGUUCCACUUCAGCCCUCCUCCUGCCCAGGAAACUAGUUAACCGAGCAGCCAUUUAUUCUGCCAUCCAGGAAGCUGUCACCAUGACAGUCAUGGCCAUUUUAAACAUAUCAUGGUCAUUCACUGAGACUUCAUUCCAGCCAGAGAAACCACCACAGCUGUCAUAGCUCCCUCUAAAGCCACAAGCCUUUUCCAGAGUCCACUAGUUUCAACAGCCAUUUCAGGAGACCCCAUUUCAGCCAUGGCAGCUCCACACACCCUGUGAUGGCUCCAUGAGACAUCACUUUGGCUGUGACAGCUUCAGAUGGCUCCACCCACAGUUGCUGUGGAUGUCCCUCUUGUAGAUGGCAUCCAUCACUUUGAGGAGGAGCACUUCCCUCAUCCUUAAUGUCAAGGACAGGCAGGCCCAGUAUGCGUGCAUACACCGCUGUGCCUUGGCAAACAGGAGGCUGUGCAUGUGCUUGGCUAGGUGGGUCAACAGCCUUCCUCUCACUCUCACCAGUCAGUCCAGACCACCCCCCGACCCCCCACGUUGUGCCUCUCUGUGCUGAAGGAGGACCCAAUAAAACCUCAUACUGAUUUCACUGCCAACUCAUGGUCUAUUGUCAUGGGUAGGGUGGGCUGAGCUCACUGCACGAAGAACAGCCAUCUGGGGCUGCAAACCUCAAGCACAUCCAGCAACGAGAAGGUGGCUGGAGUUCUGGAGAAUAACUGGGUGCAAAAAACUUCAAAGAGCUAAGACUGCAAAAAAUGAAGUACCACAGACAGUUGAGAUGGUGACAGAUGGUGGCCUGCAGAGAGCUGAGAGCGGGGAGAGCGAGGGACCAUAGAGGCGCAGGCAUCAGCUGCUGGAAAGGCCCCAGCUGCUGAGGAGUCAUCAAAACCAGCUGGAGACUGAGAUGUAGCAUCAUAUUAAGCCAAGGACCACUGCACUGAAAGCUUGGGGCUACACACUAAGACUAAUGGGCCACUUACACUGAGCUGCUAACACUAAAGAAAUUGCAUCUUCCCUAUCUGUGCUCUCUCUAAAUACAGCAAAGAUGCUUCUGCCAGCUGGCAACACUCCUGAUUCUGCCUUGCCACAGCCUCAAAGCAAUAGUCAGCUGCCCAGGGCCCAGAACCUCUGAAACCCUGAGCCAAAAUAAGCCUCUCCCCCUUGCGUUGUCUUGCUCAAGUGUUUGUCACAACAACAGAAGAGUGGGGUCUUCCUCCUUCUUUCCUAAGCACAUCCUGACUGCUCUGCUCCCUCAUUGUCUCAACUUCUUUUUAACAAGUAGGACUCUGACAUAGAGAGGUAUAAACUAGAUCCAGCCUUUCUUUGCAUAAACUGUUUUGAUAAGCCUCUGUUGUGCAGCAAUUUCCUGUGAGAUAAAACCUUCCCUGUGGAGAAACAUCCCAUCCUGCUGGAAAGCUUGUUAAGAUCUGGAAGUAAAGAACUCAAUAGCUCCACGAAGUCCCUGAAACAGACUGGGUUUACUAGGCCCCUCCCUCCCCAAGCAAAUAUAAACCCUAAAGACUGUUGAGAGACACUCAGACCAGGUGAGCUGCCUAGAAGAGGGUAAGCUCAACUAAGCCAUCCAGAAGGCAGAGACCAGCCAAACUGCCUGGAAGCGGCACAGACCAACUGAGCUACUUGGAAAGGACGGGUCUCCAACCUGCUGAGCUGCCCGAAGGUUGUGUAGUGUGCUCCAGGUUUCCCGCCUUCAUGAGCGGUCACCCACGCUGAGAAGGCUUUGGUGGUACAGCUGUCUGAGUCAUUUCUGAUCCUGUAAGUAACCCCUCACCUACAUUCCUGACUGAACACUGGUUCACUGAGUUGGAUAUUGGUGGUAUCCUUAUUUUGGUCUGUUGUUCCUCCCUGUCUAAGGUGAGCAGAUGUAUGUUCAUGUCACCCCAGGAAUAGUGUCACACACAGCCCCAAACACUAUGCCCAAUAUACACAUCAGACAGGGAACCCAGGUGUGGUCUGAGGACAGUUUGUCCUUUAUUUCAUACUAGUAAACUCAUGCUUUGAAACAAGUUAUAGAGUACUUGGCUUGAUGAUACUUUUUGGAAAUUUGGUUUUGUGUAGUUAAAUAUAUAAAUUUCUAUGUUCUUACUGUGAUUCAUAAAAUAUAUGACUAAUUGAGUAUUUCAAUUAAGGGAGUGAAUAUUUUUACAAUGGGAGCAUAUGUGGCUCCUGUUUUAGAGCAUAUCCUGUCAUGAGCUGGAUCUUGGAUCGAUGGUACUCUGAGUUUGUGAUGAAUUUACGGGUUAUGAGUUUUAUGGGUUGACCCUGUCCUAAAGGUUUUAGUGAUGUAACUCACUGAAAUUGAGGGGUGUGUGCGAGUGAGGAAUGAGUACUGGCCUCUAUUGUUAGCUUGUUUACGAUUUCCGGGAUACCAAGGCUUCCUGAACUUUGCUGUAGAGAUUUUCAAGAACUCUUGAGAGGGUAAAAAGGAUUCAAGAUCUCAACCUGGCAACUGUUAUCUUUUAUCCACCUAAUAUAUAGAUGAUAAAGAUACUCACUGGAA